UACGUAGGGUGCAAGCGUUGUCCGGAAUUAUUGGGCGUAAAGAGCUCGUAGGCGGUCUGUCGCGUCUGCUGUGAAAACUCAGGGCUUAACCCUGAGCUUGCAGUGGGUACGGGCAGACUAGAGUGCGGUAGGGGAGACUGGAAUUCCUGGUGUAGCGGUGAAAUGCGCAGAUAUCAGGAGGAACACCGAUGGCGAAGGCAGGUCUCUGGGCCGAUAUUGACGCUGAGGAGCGAAAGCGUGGGGAGCGAACAGG
rnacentral:rRNA from 1 species